rnacentral:rRNA from 1 species
GAUGAACGCUAGCGGCAGGCCUAAUACAUGCAAGUCGAGCGGCAAGUUGAGAGGCAAUUCGAGACCUAGAGCGGCGUACGGGUGCGUAACGCGUAUGCAACCUACCUCAUACAGGGGGAUAGCCCGGAGAAAUCUGGAUUAAUACCCUAUAGUACAUAUAGAGGGCAUCUGAAAUAUGUUAAAGAUUCAUCGGUAUGAGAUGGGCAUGCGUCUGAUUAGCUAGUUGGCGGUGUAACGGACCACCAAGGCGACGAUCAGUAGGGGUUCUGAGAGGAAGGUCCCCCACACUGGCCCUGACAUACGGGCCAGACUCCUACGGGAGGCAGCAGUAGGGAAUAUUGGGCAAUUGUCGGAAGACUGACCCAGCCAUGCCGCGUGCAGGAAGAAGGCCCUCUGGGUUGUAAACUGCUUUUAUCUGGGAAGAAAAGGCCCGUGCGCGGGACAUUGCCGGUACCAGAUGAAUAAGCACCGGCUAACUCCGUGCCAGCAGCCGCAGUAA